GGCUCACUGAAGAAUGUGCCCAUAGACCUGGAGGAGGCACUCUGCCCAGGUUUGAUAAGAUGAAGAUGGUUUCUAGUGGAAAACCAAAGGUCUAAGGAUUUGCCAGCAGGCUCCCUAGGGCUCACUCUGUCCAUCCCCCUGCAUGCAGCUGGACUUUCCCCUAAAGCAGCACGGGGCUGAGUUCCCUUUGAAAUCCUGGUUUGUGCAAAGGUCCUUCUAGUGGCAGCGGUGACCAGUGGUUGGGCAGGCCCCGCCAAGUCAGUGUUUGCGGGCUGGUUGUGAGAGGAAUGAUGAACAGGUCCGCGUGGAUGGAGAGGUCCAACACGAAGCUAUGCUAAUUCGUCAUAAGCUCUGCCUGCCGCCUUUUAUAUAUCAACCUGAAAUGUAAUUAUCUUUAUGGCUGGCAGAGUAAAUCACCAGUA